UACGUAGGGCGCAAGCGUUAUCCGGAAUUAUUGGGCGUAAAGAGCUCGUAGGCGGUUUGUCGCGUCUGCCGUGAAAGUCCGGGGCUUAACUCCGGAUCUGCGGUGGGUACGGGCAGACUAGAGUGAUGUAGGGGAGACUGGAAUUCCUGGUGUAGCGGUGAAAUGCGCAGAUAUCAGGAGGAACACCGAUGGCGAAGGCAGGUCUCUGGGCAUUAACUGACGCUGAGGAGCGAAAGCAUGGGGAGCGAACAGG
rnacentral:rRNA from 1 species